GAGUUUGAUCUUGGCUCAGGAUGAACGCUAGCGGCAGGCCUAAUACAUGCAAGUCGAGGGGCAGCAGGGAUAGCAAUAUUCGCUGGCGACCGGCGCACGGGUGCGUAACACGUAUACAAUCUGCCUUUAACAGGGGGAUAGCCCGGAGAAAUCCGGAUUAAUACCCCAUAACAGAUCGAAUGGCAUCAUUUGAUUUUGAAAGCUCCGGCGGUUAAAGAUGAGCAUGCGUCCCAUUAGCUAGAUGGUAAGGUAACGGCUUACCAUGGCAACGAUGGGUAGGGGUCCUGAGAGGGAGAUCCCCCACACUGGUACUGAGACACGGACCAGACUCCUACGGGAGCAGCAGUGAGGAAUAUUGGUCAAUGGACGCAAGUCUGAACCAGCCAUGCCGCGUGCAGGAUGACGGUCCUAUGGAUUGUAAACUGCUUUUGUACGGGAAGAAACAGUUCUACGUGUAGAACCUUGACGGUACCGUAAGAAUAAGGAUCGGCUAACUCCGUGCCAGCAGCC
rnacentral:rRNA from 1 species